GCAUCGGUGGUUCAGUGGUAGAAUGCUCGCCUGCCACGCGGGUGGCACAGGUUCAUUUCCUGGCGGAUGCC